rnacentral:rRNA from 1 species
UACGUAGGGUGCGAGCGUUAAUCGGAAUUACUGGGCGUAAAGGGCGCGUAGGCGGUCUACUAAGUUGGAUGUGAAAACUCUGGGCUUAACCCAGAGCCUGCAUUCAAAACUGAUAGGCUGGAGUUCUGGAGGGGAUAGCGGAAUUCCUGGUGUAGCGGUGAAAUGCGUAGAUAUCAGGAGGAACACCGAUGGCGAAGGCAGGUCUCUGGGCCACUACUGACGCUGAGAAGCGAAAGCAUGGGGAGCAAACAGG